rnacentral:sRNA from 1 species
CGCAGCCGCGGUAAUUCCAGCUCCAAUAGCGUAUAUUAAAGUUGUUGCAGUUAAAAAGCUCGUAGUUGAAUUUCGGGGUUAGUAGGUUGGUCAUGCCCCCGGUAUGUACUGAUCUCACUGAUUCCUCCUUCCUUAUGAACCGUAAUGCCAUUAAUUUGGUGUUGCGGGGAAUUUGGACUGUUACUUUGAAAAAUUAGAGUGUUUAAAGCAAGCUAACGCUUGAAUACAUUAGCAUGGAAUAAUGAAAUAGGACGUUCGAUCUUAUUUUGUUGGUUUCUAGGAUUGACGUAAUGAUUAAUAGGGAUAGUUGGGGGCACUAGUAUUCAAUUGUCAGAGGUGAAAUUCUUGGAUUUAUUGAAGACUAACUACUGCGAAAGCAUUUGCCAAGGAUGUUUCAUUAAUCAAGAACGAAAGUUAGGGGAUCGAAGAC